rnacentral:lncRNA from 10 species
CACUUCCUCUAGUACAAGCCAGCUGCCAUGUUGUGAGCACAUACCACAUAGCUCCAUGGAGAUGCCCAUGUGACUGUGAUGAAGAGCUAAGACUUCCUGUCAGUGGCCGUGUGAGUGACCCAUGUUAGAAACAGAUCCGCCAGCCCAAACAGAACCUUCAGACAACUGCAGCCCCAGCUGGCAUCUUGACUGCAACUCAUGAGCGAUUCUAAGCCCACCGAAGCUGCUCUUGAAUUAUUGAUUCACAAAAACUUUUAGGUCUCCAGAAAUUCUAGCUACUGAUCAAGCCCAGUGAGGAAUUUCAGUUCUUUGUGCUGAAAACGUUGGAGAUCUGCUGGAUCAUCUCAUGAAGAACAUUGGUGGCCUGAGCCUUUUGGAAUUUGGUGCCAUGCGGCUGCUCUAGGGGAAACUUAAAAAACAUUCUUGUUCUUCAGACAGGAAGAAAAGAAAGAUUCUCCCAAUUUGGUGCAGAACUUUGAAGGUCACCUAUUUAUGGCAGCCCAUGGCUCUGGGCUAGGCCACAGCUAAAGCUGCAGAGAGAACUGCAGAAUAUCAUCCUCAGUGUCACUAGGGAAGAGGUUGGCCGGGUCAUUGGUGGGAUACAGCUGGCUAGGCCAUUUGAGUCUUUACCCACCUGUCUCAGCACUUUCUUGUUGUGAGAUUCUUACAUAACCAGAUUAGGGUUUUCAGUUUUUG